GGGGUUCAGGUAUAGCUCAGUGGUAGAGUGCAUGCUUAAUAUGCAUGAGGUCCUGGGUUCAGUCCCCGGUACCUCCA